UACAUCAUGGUGUAGUGGUUUGAGUGUUGGACUAUGAUUCUGGAGACCAGGGUUCAAUUCCCAGCUCAUCAUGAAA